GUGGGGAAUAUUGGACAAUGGGGGGAACCCUGAUCCAGCCAUGCCGCGUGUGUGAAGAAGGCCUUUUGGUUGUAAAGCACUUUAAGCGAGGAGGAGGCUACCGAGAUUAAUACUCUUGGAUAGUGGACGUUACUCGCAGAAUAAGCACCGGCUAACUCUGUGCCAGCAGCCGCGGUAAUACAGAGGGUGCAAGCGUUAAUCGGAUUUACUGGGCGUAAAGCGCGCGUAGGUGGCCAAUUAAGUCAAAUGUGAAAUCCCCGAGCUUAACUUGGGAAUUGCAGUCGAUACUGGUUGGCUAGAGUAUGGGAGAGGAUGGUAGAAUUCCAUGUGUAGCGGUGAAAUGCGUAGAGAUCUGGAGGAAUACCGAUGGCGAAGGCAGCCAUCUGGCCUAAUACUGACACUGAGGUGCGAAAGCAUGGGGAGCAAACAGGAUUAGAAACCCUGGUAGUCC
rnacentral:rRNA from 1 species